UGACUAAAAACAUCGGCAACCAUGCCGGAUCCCUUGCAUUGGUAAAGACGACCUUUGUUUCCAGCGGUUACAAUACCGGCGGCAUCUUGACCCCGAUGCUGCAAACUGUAAAGACCCUCAUAAAUUUCAGGACAUGCCUGUUGAUGAGGGUCAGCAAGCAUUAACGCCAAAAUUCCGCACAUUUUCUAAAACUUGUUAGAGCUUCGGUUGUGAAUUGAAUACAAAAGAUAAUAAAAUGAUAGGUUUAAAUGUACAAAAGAAAAAACAGCACCCAGUCAAAUUGCUAUAACUUGAUUAAAAUAAUAUGAGUCGGACUGUUCUAUUCGGACAGCAAUCAAAGUUU